UACGGAGGGUGCAAGCGUUAUCCGGAUUCACUGGGUUUAAAGGGAGCGUAGGCGGAACGAUAAGUCAGUGGUGAAAGCCCCGAGCUCAACUUGGGAAUUGCCAUUGAUACUGUUGUUCUUGAGUUCGGUUGAGGUAGGCGGAAUGUUACAUGUAGCGGUGAAAUGCUUAGAUAUGUAACAGAACACCGAUUGCGAAAGGCAGCUUACCAAAGCCGACACUGACGCUGAGGCUCGAAAGCGUGGGGAUCAAACAGG
rnacentral:rRNA from 1 species